rnacentral:rRNA from 1 species
GAUGAACGCUGGCGGCGUGCCUAAUACAUGCAAGUCGAGCGAACAGACGAGGAGCUUGCUCCUCUGACGUUAGCGGCGGACGGGUUAGUAACACGUGGAUAACCUACCUAUAAGACUGGGAUAACUUCGGGAAACCGGAGCUAAUACCGGAUAAUAUAUUGAACCGCAUGGUUCAAUAGUGAAAGACGGUUUUGCUGUCCCUUAUAGAUGGAUCCGAGCCGCAUUAGCUAGUUGGUAAGGUAACGGCUUACCAAGGCAACGAUGCGUAGCCGACCUGAGAGGGUGAUCGGCCACACUGGAACUGAGACACGGUCCAGACUCCUACGGGAGGCAGCAGUAGGGAAUCUUCCGCAAUGGGCGAAAGCUUGACGGAGCAACGCCGCGUGAGUGAUGAAGGUCUUCGGAUCGUAAAACUCUGUUAUUAGGGAAGAACAAAUGUGUAAGUAACUAUGCACGUCUUGACGGUACCUAAUCAGAAAGCCACGGCUAACUACGUG